rnacentral:rRNA from 1 species
AUACGUACUGUGCGAACGUUAUUCGGAAUCACUGGGCUUAAAGGGUGCGUAGGCGGUCAGAUAAGUAGGGUGUGAAAUCUCUCGGCUCAACCGAGAAACUGCGCUCUAAACUGUCUGACUUGAGUGAGAUAGGGGUGUGCGGAACUUCCAGUGGAGCGGUGAAAUGUGUUGAUAUUGGAAGGAACACCGGUAGCGAAAGCGGCACACUGGGUCUCAACUGACGCUGAGGCACGAAAGCUAGGGUAGCGAACGGGAUUAGAUACCCUAGUAGUCC